CGCAUGCGCGAGGCGCGAGCUGAUUCUCCCUUCACAGUGGUUCCCACGGUUGUCUUAGAAACCAGUCGCUGAGGCUGGGAAACGCGGGAGUCUUCCAUGGCAGCGCUUGGGUGUCGCGACUCCGAGGCUGCGGCCUGACCUCUGCACGGGGUCCACAGGGCAGAUUGCCCUAGAAUCCUAGAAUCAGCGCUAGGCGACCGUGACUGGCCUUGUCUUCUAGGACAGCUGAGGAGAUGCCAGCACAGGAAGAGAUGAAGUGACUUGCCUUGGAGCCCAGGCACCCAGCUCUGGACGUGCUGCCCUGUCCCCAAGCAACAGUAUCGUGCCCUCUCCUUCCUCCUUAAACCUCUAAAACCUUCGCCAGCCUUACUUACACCUGCUGCCGUGCUUCCUAUUUCAAUUUGAAAAUAGAUGCAAUAAAGAGAGAGCCUUCCCUGGA